GGAUUUAGAAUGGUCUCGGACCGUCUGCACACAUCACAAGUUCUGGCAUGGUCUUUCGAAAUAUCUGAACUUAACUGGACAAGAUCAGAGUUAGUUUCUGGUAAUAUGCGCAUAGCAGUCGGCUUUGAAAGCGUCUCCUUGACCCGAGGAUUCUGUUGGGAAGAAAGCCUAAGUCUUUCAUUGGCAGCAUUCAUCUCCUGAUGCACGGAUUCUUCUAUAUUAUCUUUCCUCAAUGAUGAAAUCCUAGACGAUGCAGCAGCUGCAGCAGUUGCAGCAGCCAGUACAGUCU
rnacentral:misc_RNA from 1 species